rnacentral:piRNA from 1 species
UGAAUUUAACUUCGAUCAGGG